rnacentral:rRNA from 1 species
GACGAACGCUGGCGGCGUGCUUAACACAUGCAAGUCGAACGGAAAGGCCCUGCUUUUGUGGGGUGCCCGAGUGGCGAACGGGUGAGUAACACGUGAGUAACCUGCCCUUGACUUUGGGAUAACUUCAGGAAACUGGGGCUAAUACCGGAUAGGAGCUCCUGCUGCAUGGUGGGGGUUGGAAAGUUUCGGCGGUUGGGGAUGGACUCGCGGCUUAUCAGCUUGUUGGUGGGGUAGUGGCUUACCAAGGCUUUGACGGGUAGCCGGCCUGAGAGGGUGACCGGCCACAUUGGGACUGAGAUACGGCCCAGACUCCUACGGGAGGCAGCAGUGGGGAAUAUUGCACAAUGGGCGGAAGCCUGACGCAGCAACGCCGCGUGCGGGAUGACGGCCUUCGGGUUGUAAACCGCUUUCGCCUGUGACGAAGCGUGAGUGACGGUAAUGGGUAAAGAAGCACCGGCUAACUACGUG